rnacentral:rRNA from 1 species
UACGUAGGGUGCAGGCGUUAAUCGGAAUCAUUGGGCGUAAAGCGCGCGUAGGUGGCCCCGUAAGUCCGCUGUGAAAGUCAAAGGCUCAACCUUUGAAAGCCGGUGGAUACUGUGGGACUAGAGUACGGAAGAGGCGAGUGGAAUUCCUGGUGUAGCGGUGGAAUGCGCAGAUAUCAGGAGGAACACCAAUAGCGAAGGCAGCUCGCUGGGACGUUACUGACACUGAGGCGCGAAAGCGUGGGGAGCGAACAGG